UGUUGUUAUUUAAAGGAACUAUUUCUGCGAUACAUCAUAAAUCAUGAUGAGAGAAGAAAAAUAUUAGUAGCUUGCCAUGUUCAUCCUACUUCUGGCUAUUUGGGUAAAACAAGGACAUUAGGCAGGGUAAAAGAGCGUUUCAUGUGGCACGGAAUGGUAAAAAAUGUCCAUGAGUUGCUUAUAUCUUGUGGUGUAUGCCAGAGAAUGAAUAGAAAGUUAAACUGUGGAAAACCAGAGAUGCACCCAAUAAAGGUAAAAGCUCCAUGGUAUAUGGUUGGCAUAGAUUUUAUUGGCCCACUCAGUACAAUUAGUGAAGAUGGUUGUAAAUACAUUUUAACUAUUAGUGACUAUUUUUCAAAGUAGGUUGAAGUAAUAGCCACUAAAGACAAAAUGGCAGUUACAGUGGCAGGAUGUCUGUUCGAGCUUGGUUUGGGUAUGUAGAGCGUAAAGGUGCUACUGAUUGGGUAUCAGCAUUUAGAGAGAAGUUUUAUAAGAAAAAGUGAGGUAGGUAAAGAAAAUUUUUGAAAGAGUUAAAGAAAGACAAUGCACAAGAUUGAUGAAACGUGCAGUAGCGGAUUUAGUAUAAGGCAUGGGGGAGAGCUGCCACACACACACACACUCCCUAGAACAGGGAGAACGACGCCCUUUAAAACAUUAAAAAAUAUGUAUGUAAUAUGUAUGAUAAAAGUCAUGUAAAACCAACAACAACAACAA